GACAGAGGUGCCGAGCGUUAGGCGGAAUCACUGGGCUUAAAGCGUGUGUAGGCGGCCCGUUAAGUACCUUGUGAAAUCCCCCGGCUCAACCGGGGAACGGCUGGGUAUACUGGCGGGCUUGGGUCACCCAGGGGCAGACGGAACAAGCGGUGGAGCGGUGAAAUGCGUAGAUAUCGCUUGGAACGCCGGCGGCGAAAGCGGUCUGCUGGGGGUGUACCGACGCUGGAGACACGAAAGCCAGGGGAGCGAACGGG
rnacentral:rRNA from 1 species